AGCUCAUGCAAUGUCCUGUGAUAAAAAUAUACCCGACUCUUCCAGGAAUGUGUAGUAGUGGAGACCGAAUGAUGGAGUCUUCUAGACCAUUGUAAAGACUUUAGCUUUUAUUCUGACAGAAUUAGAAGUCAAACAGAAGUUUUGGAACACAGGAGUGACAUGAUUCUCAUUACAUAAUAAUGGGGCAAGAAUGCAAGGAAGGAGAAGAGUUAUGAGACUAUAACAAUAACCAAGAUAAUCCGUAAAGAUGAAUUGCAUCAUGGAUAUUGCAGUAAAGGUGGUGAAAUGUGGUUGGACUGUGAAUGUAUUUUUAAGUCAAUGCAAACAGGAUUUUCUGAUAAAUCAGAUGUGAAGAGUGAGAGAAGGAAGAAGUAUAGGAUGGGGAAGCCUGUAUUCUCUUCCUGCCAAGCCAUUUUUGCUUAGUCUUCUUUUGCCACCUUCACUUGCCCUGUUAUUGGAGAGCUGCUAUCAGGAUUCCCGUUAUGCUCAGCUAACCCUGAUGAAUGAUUAAAUUUGGCUCCAGAUGUAACGUUUUUGGAGAUCAGGGGCCUACAGCAAUGUAAAGCUGAGGAUGACAAUGAUCAUGAAGGUCCUGUAAGAAUCUUCCUGGAAAAUAUUGUGUUAAUGUAAAUGAAAGUACAUGAACAAUUUGCAAGAUGCAAGUAAAGAUCAAAUAAUAUGAAGAUUUUGUAAACAAAAAUGGGUAUCUGAAGUCUUACAAAAUAAAGCAAAGACACAAGAUAAAAUAUCAUGUUAAAAGUGUAAGAAGUUGAAAAAAUUGAUUUGGGCCACCAGUUGAUUGUUGAAUGAAUGAAAAAGGAAUGCAUAGAGUGUGAAAAACAUUAAAUUGGAGAAAAACAUUAAAAUGUUGCAAAUUUUUCCAGCAAUACAUAAGUAUUAAUUUCAUGAUGAAAAGACUUGGGCUAUGUGGGAUUCCUAAAUGAAAUUGAAAAGUAGAAAACAAAAUUAUUACUGAAUUUUUAAAAUAUAGUUUACAUAAACUGUGAGACCAUAACUAAUUAAAGACCCAAGAUUUUCUUA